rnacentral:rRNA from 1 species
AUGAGUGUUUUAUCAUGGAACUGCCGAGGGCUUGGGAACCCUUGGACAGUUCGAGAGCUUCGCAAAGUUGUGAAGCAAGAAGGCCCCGCCCUUCUGUUUGUCAUGGAAACAAAAAUCAAGGGCAAGCGUGUGGAGGAUCUAAAAUUUAGUUUAGGUUUCUCUGGUUGUUUUGCUGUCGAUAGCGACGGGCUUAGUGGAGGAAUUGGUCUUUUCUGG